AUUGACUUUAAUGGAAAUCAUCCUUUCUCCAUCACAAUAAGUCAUAAUUUUGUCACUUUAGACUUGCUUGAUAUUGUUUUUGUCUCUUGCCUUUAAGACACUGAGAGGACUGCCUUCCCUCUGCAGCAGCCAGAGUCCGAAAGUGCAUCUUUACAGACUGCGACAGCACAGAUCCUCAUCCUUCCUUUGAAAGACCAUCACUCAAAACACGGCAACCCUUCGAUCCAAGUCCAGAAGGGGACAGUGUUGUGUGAUAUGAGGGGGAAAGAAGCACAGAGUUGGAGUAAUGAGACAUCUGGAUGCACAUUGAGGAGACUCAUCUAGCAUUCAAAGAUCGCAGCAUGGGGACCCAUUUGGAGGAUAAAAAUAAAAAUCCAUCACAAAUCCACAUCUUGAAGUUUCCACUUUGAAGACAUAGAAGGCAUGCAUGGCAGCAUUAGAGGCCACUACUGCUACUAACUUAUGUUAUAUUUCAGUCAUCUCUGGAUUCUGGUUCCUAGGAAUUUCAUAAGUGAGUGAAACAGAGCUUCAUAACAUUUUGUACCAACGGGAAAUGAUGCAAGGAUUGGAAACAAGCUGUGACUUCAGACCACUAUACUGUAUGCAGUCUCAAUUUUGAACAUCAAAAAUAGCAAAUGAAAAGAGCUUCUCAGUGGAUUUACUCAUUUCAACUGAGUUAUGGAAAAAUCUCGACUAACUUAACAAGUGUUAUUGUAUUGUUAUGAUACUUAAUAGAAUUGGUAAAUGGUACACAUUUGUCAUUUUUGGAUGGAAAAUUGAAAAUAAGUUUACAAGAAAUUUACAAAACAUAUGUGACUGUAUAGUAUAGCAUAGUAUAGUAUAGUAUAGAAGGCUAUUUUGCCCACAAAAAAUGUAACUACAGCCACAUUGAAUAAUUGUAUUUAUUUAAAAAAAAAAAAAAAAAACACUAUGGAAUAAAAGUCACAAACAAAAUAUUGUUCUUGAAAGGUCAAAUGAAGCACAGCUGUUGAUCAACCAGGAAAAUUUUGUGUAAUGUGCUUCACACUGUUUUCCAAGAACAGUUUCAGAACAAAGCUUUCCAAAAAAAAUAAUGGGAAAAAAUGAAUCUGUAAAAAAGUAUUCAUGUUUUAAGCCAAUCAGUUUUCUUUUGAGUCUCCUUAUUUUUAUAUAUUGUCUCAUCUGUUUCUUUAAUUUCCUCUUCAUCAUUUCUUCCUCCUGUAAAGCACUUUGUAACAUCUGUUUUGAAAAAUAAAGUUUGCGUUCUUGCUUACCCAACUGAACAGCCUUAUUGUAACGCUGGGAUUACCCUGCCUGGUUC